rnacentral:rRNA from 1 species
AGCGAACGCUGGCGGCAUGCCUAACACAUGCAAGUCGAGCGCUCCCAGCAAUGGGGGAGCGGCGGACGGGUGAGUAACGCGUAGGAACGUAUCCUGAGGUGGGGGAUAACCCUGGGAAACUAGGGCUAAUACCGCAUGAUGGCGAGAGCCCAAAGAUUUAUCGCCUUGGGAGCGGCCUGCGUCUGAUUAGCUUGUUUGGUGGGGUAACGGCCUACCAAGGCGAUGAUCAGUAGCUGGUCUGAGAGGAUGAUCAGCCACACUGGGACUGAGACACGGCCCAGACUCCUACGGGGGGCAGCAAUUAGGAAUCUUGCGCAAUGGGGCGAAAGCCUGACGCAGCGACGCCGCGUGACUGAUGAAGUC